rnacentral:rRNA from 1 species
AUAUUAAGGUAUAAAAGUUUAUUCUUUAUUUAUAAUUCAAAGCAUUUUGAAAAUUAGUAAAGGGGAUUAAAAUUUAUUUCAUAUAUAUCCUAAAAAAGUACUGUGAAGGAAUAUAAUAAAUUAUAAAAAAGAAAAAAUUGAAAUUUGUACCUUUUGCAUCAUGGUUUAACUAGAUACUAUUUUAUAUUUAAAUUUCUCGAAAUCUAAUGAGCUAUCUUUAUUCAUUAUAUUAGAAAAUAAGGAGUAAUUGUAGCAAAAAUUUUCCUAGAAGUAAAGAUAGAAAUGAAAUUUUAUUCGUAUUAGAUGAUAGCUAGUUCUUCUAAAAGGCAUAUAAGUGCUUUGGAUUAAAGUUUAUUUUUACAGCAUUAAUGUAAGACAGAUUUCAAUUCAGUUAAAUUUUUGAGGAUAAGCUCGAAAAUUAUAUAGUAUAUUUGCAUGUUAUUUCUCUUUAAAAUUUAGGCUUGAAAAUAGCCAUAAUUUUGACUUUGUUAUAAUUUCAUUUAAUUUAUCGAAAAAUAAUUAAUUUGCUUUUGUAUAAAAGAAGAAAACUUUAGAAUCAAAAUAAGUUGAAUCUAUGUUAAAAUGAGUAUUGAUUAAUAUAUCGGUUUUAAUAAUUCUAUAUUCAUUAAAACUAUUACUUCUUUAUUAGCUUUAAAUCAGAAAAAGGAACUCGGCAAAUACGCAUUCUGCCUGUUUAGCAAAAACAUGGCUCCUUGUUUUAUUAUGUAUAAGGAGUCGGACCUGCCCAGUGAAAUUUUUAACGGCCGCGGUACCCUGACCGUGCAAAGGUAGCAUAAUCAUUUGCCUUAUAAUUGAAGGCUAGUAUGAAUGGUUUGACAAGAAUGCAGCUGUCUCUUUCUGAUUAAAUAGAAUUUUAUUUAGAGGUGAAGAAGCCUCUAUUAAAUUAAAAGACAAGAAGACCCUAUCGAGCUUUAAAAAAAUUAAUAGACAGAACAAUUAAUAUACAUAAAAAACUACUAUUAAAAAUUUUAGUUGGGGCGACUGAGGAACAAAAAAAGCUUCCUUUAUAGUAUAAAAUCACACAAGUAUUGAUCCAAAAUAUUUUGAUUAAAGGAAUUAGUUACCGUAGGGAUAACAGCAUUAUCUUCUUUAAGAGCCCUUAUCGAAAAGAAGGUUUGUGACCUCGAUGUUGGACCAGAAUAUCCUAAAGAUGCAGCAGUCUUUAAGGGUUGGUCUGUUCGACCAUUAAAAUUCUACGUGAUCUGAGUUCAGACCGGCGUGAGCCAGGUCAGUUUCUAUCUUUAAUUUUUGAAAUAAACUUAGUACGAAAGGACCAGCUUAU